AUGAACGCUAGCGACAGGCCUAACACAUGCAAGUCGAGGGGCAGCACAAGGAGCAAUCUGAGGUGGCGACCGGCGCACGGGUGAGUAACACGUAUGCAACCUGCCUGUAAGCGGGGAAUAACCCGUUGAAAGACGGACUAAUACCGCAUAAUACUAAAUUACUGCAUGGUAAUUUAUUUAAACAUUUAUGGCUUACAGAUGGGCAUGCGCAUGAUUAGCUAGUUGGAGAGGUAACGGCUCCCCAAGGCAACGAUCAUUAGGGGUUCUGAGAGGAAGGUCCCCCCACACUGGUACUGAGACACGGACCAGACUCCUACGGGAGGCAGCAGUGGGGAAUAUUGGUCAAUGGACGAGAGUCUGAACCAGCCAAGUCGCGUGCAGGAAGAAUGUUCCCUAUGGAUUGUAAACUGCUUUUGCAGGGGAAUAAAGUGCAUCACGUGUGAUGUUUUGUAUGUACUCUGCGAAUAAGGAUCGGCUAACUCCGUGCCAGCAGCCGC
rnacentral:rRNA from 1 species